rnacentral:tRNA from 1 species
GCCUGGCUGACUCAGUUUGUAGAGUAUGUGACUCUUGAUCUCAGAGUCAUGAGUUUGAGCCCCAUGUUGGGUG